rnacentral:rRNA from 1 species
AGAGUUUGAUCCUGGCUCAGGAUGAACGCUAGCGGCAGGCCUAAUACAUGCAAGUCGAACGGGAUUCGGAUAGCAAUAUCUGAUGAGAGUGGCGCACGGGUGCGUAACGCGUAUGCAACCUACCUUUAACAGGGGGAUAGCUCCGAGAAAUCGGGAUUAAUACCCCAUAGAAUCUUAAUGCUACCUGGUAUAAAGAUUAAAGCUCCGGCGGUUAAAGAUGGGCAUGCGUGCCAUUAGCUAGUUGGUGAGGUAACGGCUCACCAAGGCAACGAUGGCUAGGGGUUCUGAGAGGAUUAUCCCCCACACUGGUACUGAGACACGGACCAGACUCCUACGGGAGGCAGCAGUAAGGAAUAUUGGGCAAUGGACGCAAGUCUGACCCAGCCAUGCCGCGUGCAGGAUGACAGCCUUAUGGGUUGUAAACUGCUUUUAUCAGGGAAUAACCCCCCGUACGUGUACGGGGCUGAAUGUACCUGAAGAAUAAGCAUCGGCUAACUCCGUGCCAGCAGCCGCGGUAAUACGGAGGAUGCAAGCGUUAUCCGGAUUUAUUGGGUUUAAAGGGUGCGCAGGCGGAUAAGUAAGUCAGUGGUGAAAUCUCUCGGCUCAACCGAGAAACUGCCAUUGAUACUGUUUAUCUUGAGUGUAAAUGAAGUGGGCGGAAUGUAGCAUGUAGCGGUGAAAUGCAUAGAUAUGCUACAGAACACCAAUUGCGAAGGCAGCUCACUAAAUUACAACUGACGCUCAUGCACGAAAGCGUGGGGAUCAAACAGGAUUAGAUACCCUGGUAGUCCACGCUGUAAACGAUGAUUACUCGUUGUUGGCGAUACACAGUCAGCGACCAAGCGAAAGUGAUAAGUAAUCCACCUGGGGAGUACGAUCGCAAGGUUGAAACUCAAAGGAAUUGACGGGGGCCCGCACAAGCGGUGGAGCAUGUGGUUUAAUUCGAUGAUACGCGAGGAACCUUACCUGGGCUCAAAUGUAUGUUGACGUGUCGAGAAAUCGGCAUUUCUUCGGACA